UACGGAGGGUGCAAGCGUUAUCCGGAUUUACUGGGUUUAAAGGGUGCGUAGGUGGACAGGAAAGUCAGUGGUGCAAUCUUCGAGCUUAACUCGGAAACUGCCAUUGAUACUAUUUGUCUUGAAUACUUUGGAGGUAAGCGGAAUAUGUCAUGUAGCGGUGAAAUGCUUAGAUAUGAAAUAGAACACCAAUUGCGAAGGCAGCUUACUACACAGUUAUUGACAGUGAGGCACGAGAGCGUGGGGAUCAAACAGG
rnacentral:rRNA from 1 species